UACGUAGGUGGCAAGCGUUGUCCGGAUUUACUGGGCGUAAAGAGCGCGCAGGCGGUCAUUCAAGUCGAGUGUGAAAGCCCCCGGCUCAACUGGGGAGGGUCACUCGAUACUGAUCGACUCGAAGGCAGAAGAGGGAAGCGGAAUUCCCGGUGUAGUGGUGAAAUGCGUAGAUAUCGGGAGGAACACCGGUGGCGAAGGCGGCUUUCUGGUCUGCUCUUGACGCUGAGGCGCGAAAGCUAGGGUAGCAAACGGG
rnacentral:rRNA from 1 species